CGUCAGACUCAUAAACACCCUCACGACCCAAUGGCAGCACGCUAACAACUCAUUUCAAGAUGAAAUUUUUCCCACAACAUUUAAGUGGACACUGAACCAGGCCCUGGAGACGAAAGAGUGAGAAGGCAGAAACGAUCCCGUCACUGGGAAGCUCACACUGCAGAGGAGGGACCCACCGUCAGGACCAGGCACCUUUCAGCCAGUAGACAUGGUCUAGUGGAGAAGGCCCGUGAUGAGGGGCCCAGCAUCCCAAGUUCCCUUUCUGCUCCGCUGGUCUCCAGCUGGCUCACUUUGACUUCGUUCCCAGUCCCUCUGUGCCACAACUGUCUCACCUACAAAAUGAAGGAGAUUGGUCCAGGCAUAAGGGAAAAAAUAAGGUGUGGGAGAACCCAUGAAGCAAAGAGCUAUGGAUCACUUGCUGUAUGCCAGAUGCUGUACACCAGGAACAGAAAAGGAAGAAAGGGACAUGUUGCACCCUUAGCAUGCAUUUUGUGAGGGAACAGACAGAUACAAAGAUUACAUUAAAACGAAAAAGCGCAACGAUGUGGAGAGCACAGAAGAGAGCUACCCACGCUAGACGCUCGCUGAAUCCUCACAACAUCCUGGAUACCGCUGUUUCCAUUUCAUAGCUGGGGAAGGGAGACCAAGAAAAAUGAAACGGUUUCCAAGACCCCACAGUUGAUGUAACUACUACAGCUCUCCCAUGGAUGAAAUACUAGGUUACAAUGUCUACUGUUUUGCUGGGAAACAGCUCAUUUUCUCACAGAGAAAGUCCCUCUACUCCAGGGAGCCGUGGAAUUGACGCAAAAUGGAGAAGGAGAAAGGAUCCAGGGGUACCGAGGAGCACGUGAGGGAAUCACUCACUGAAACGGAGGAACAGUUCAUCCCCGGAAAUAAGAUCCAGCGCUAUGGCGUUAAUUCAGUGUCUUUACUGUUGUGGUUAGUCAUGGAGAAAUUCGGGGCAUCAGAGCUGUUCCUUUAAAGACCGAGGCCACUGUGCUCAUGGACGAGCCAUCACCACACCAUUAUGACUAGUUUUCCUACCCACAUUUGGCCUGGUUUUCCUAUCGACUUCCCAAUCCCUGUGAACGUGUGCAGGUAUUUCCCCGACAAUCUCUACUACUCCCCACUCCACUUGGCCUGUUUGGGAACAGGACUGCUAUUCCAAAUGCAUUCUAUUUGGAAUGUGCAUUCGCCACCGACAACAGACAAAUAAGCCAGAAGCAAAACCACUUUUGACUCUGGGAUACUAACUGCAACAAAUUGCCUGGAAAUAACAAAAUGAGGCUGAAAAGACUAGGAUAAAUAUUCCCUGCAUUUUCUGCAAAAUACCAAUAUUAGCCACGGAAGACACAGGCCAUUUAGCUCCUUGAGCAUCAUUGUAUGAUCCAUAGUUUCCUCACAAGAAGCAAGUUCUGUUUGUGCCAACUGUGUAUGAUUCUGCUUCUAAAGCAUUACUCAAAUUCAACAUUCAGCUCUGCUCAGAGUAUGCAUAAUACACGAAUUAAUAACUAAUAUGAAAAGAAAAAAGGCUCUGCAUGAAAUAACCUUUUUCAGACUGAGCAAUAAUCCUCCACGUACAGUAACAAAAAUAGAUGUAACUUCCUUCUCCUCCUGAGAUGUCCAAUUCCACUCUCCGCGGGAGACUCAUCAAUGAACUUCGAUAAAACACCCAGGAUCAUAUACGCGUAGGUAAUUACAACUGUAUUAACCCCUGUCACUGGCUGUGAAGGGAUCAGCGUCAAUCUGGGCAGUUGCUAACAAUAGCGCUCUGAGGGCAAUACGCUCAGUGUUACUCAAGAUGAGUGUUGACUUGCAAGUGGCACCUGGAUGGAUUUGGGACAGAAUACUCAGAUCUUAGUUCUCCUGAGCUCAGCAUUAACAUAAUCCCAUUCUAUUACAAAUUCUCCACCUAAAGGUCCCCUACAGCCACCCACCUGCAGUCAGUCCCCACACCUCCUCAGGGCGGCAGGCUCCAUCAGAUGCCCAGGUGUCCUGAUGUAGGAACUCAGACCUCAUGCAAGGUCUAAGUGACCACUGCCCUCAUUGGGAAGUCACUCAAGUGCUUAACUCACAAACUUUCCAAAAUUUACAUUUUAAUGUCAGGUCCUCAGAGCCUGGGUCUGGAAAUCAACCGGGUCCUUUGUUAUCUGUAACAGAGGCUAUAAAGAAAGAUAACUUAUUGAAAAAGUUGGACUUCUAGGACACAGCAUACUGAAAAAGCUUGGACUUUAGAGCCUGACAGAGCUGGGUUUAAGCUUUAACUCAUUGUCGACUGGUGGCAUGAACGACUUUGCAGAGUUUCCGCCUCUCUCAGAGCCGUGACACAGAUUAACUGUGAAUCUCAGCCGACCAAACACACCUGCACCUAGGAGCGACCUCUCUCGGCACCGACAGUGCCGGCACUGGCUUUGUUUCGUUAACACACUGCCCAGCCCUUGCCUAUAGCUCCCGGACGGCUAGUAACCUACUCUGGCCAUCUCCACGACCCAAGCCCAGGACGCGCUGCGUGACUCACAGUAGGCUCUCAACGUCCACGUCACACUGAAGGAAGAGGAGGCACUUAAUUCAGUGCUUCUCAAACUUUAAUGUGCAUACAAUUCACCUGGGAAUCGUGUUAAAGAGCAUAUUCUGAUUCAUUACGUCUAGCGUGGACCCCAAGACACUGCAUCUCAGACAAGCACCAAAUAGACCCAUGCUUCGAGGACCCCACUCUGAGCAACUCAGUGCUAGUUUCCUUUCUUUUCCUUCCUUUUUGGCCCCGACAAUAGUCUAUGAAGUGGCAACAGCCACGAGCCGUUUGUGAGCAGCUCUGAGGGCUGUUUCCCCGCAGUCCAACCAUGACCUUCCCUUGACACCAACAGAGGCCGGGGCACCCAGGACAAUAUGAGUGUGGGGACUGUUAGUGUGAAGAUACAACUCUUCCCCAUUAGAACAAGCUAUCGAGUGAACAAUGCUCUUCGUCAGAAAAAUAGAAAGCUCCUUAAGGAACAAGAAACAGUUUCGUUAUACUUCUAGAGGACAACACACUAAAUAGCAAUGUGCCGGUAGAAGACACAAAUUUCUAAAUCACUGACAUUUAAUACCUUGUAUUUCCAAAAAGUGUCAUGCUCUCCACUGUCAUGUUAACAGAAUGAGUAUUUAUAAAUAUGCAUGCCAGAAACGCAAAGCCAUAUUUGCAAAGGGAAGCUGUCAUCUGGUGCCACACAGCGCCAUCUGCCGGGCAGCUGCUGAGGAGCAGCAGAAAAAAGGAAGGAUCCUGGUCAGGAAUAAUAACGCGAAAUUUCCUGCAGCUUUUGAAACAGCUUUAUGCAAACUAAGGCAGCUUCCUGGGGUUCUGCACUGGCUCAUUUGGAGAGAACACCAUACAGCAAAAAUGCUCUUUUUGCCUAAAAAGGUAGAACCAUUUUAUAGAGAUACGUAUACUGAUGCGGGACUACAGGCUGAACAGAGAAAUCCUUAUGGCCAUUGAGAAGAAAAAACUGUUUCUUCCUCCCAAAGAAAAAUCUGGUUUUCUGGGCACCACUGGAAUUUACCUGACUCUUAAUCAACACAAUGUUAGUGCACAGUAUUUUCAGCACCCGUCACAAACAAGAAAUAGACAUGAGAAAGUAGCAAAGACAAAUCUGUAAUCUAGUCACUACUGAAUGUAGGUUCCUCUUAAAUCCUAAAACUGGUCGAAUACUUUAGCACAAAUGUCAAGAAAGGAAUGAGUGGGAAGAUGUGAGGCCUGAUAAGUCCUUCCUACUGACAUCUUUCAAGGAAAAGGCAACUUGCUCUAUCAUCAUAGUGGCAUAAUUUUGAAAUGAUUUUAAUUUUCCUAUUGAAUAGUCUAGUUGCCAGAGCUGAUCACCCAGUUCUUAGGCAGUCUUCGAUUUUAAAGAAUUAAGCAGAAAUUUGGGUUUAACUGAACACAUUAAAGAAUAAUAAUGCUAUGAAAUAUCUACUUUGGGACGUCAGAAAAAAUAUAGGUAACAAGCCCUUUCAAGCAAUUUUCUACAGAGGAUCUCAAAGGGCAAUCCUGGCUGUCACCCAACGACCCUUGAAAAG
ensembl:lncRNA